CAGCCGCCGCGGUAAUACGAAGGGGGCUAGCGUUGCUCGGAAUUACUGGGCGUAAAGGGCGCGUAGGCGGCCAUUCAAGUUAGAUGUGAAAGCCCUAAGCUCAACCUAGGAAUUGCAUUUGAUACUGUUUGGCUUGAGUUCGGGAGAGGUGAGUGGAAUUCCCAGUGUAGAGGUGAAAUUCGUAGAUAUUGGGAAGAACACCAGUGGCGAAGGCGGCUCACUGGCCCGAUACUGACGCUGAGGUGCGAAAGCAUGGGGAGCAAACAGGAUUAGAUACCCCUGUAGUCCCUGUCUCUUAUAC
rnacentral:rRNA from 1 species